UGUGCUUUGCUCUUUAAUGCCCGGUUCUGGCAACAGGAGAAAGGGGGAUUUGGGGCUGUAAUCCCCGGCGCGCGCUGACGUCGGGAGUUGGCAGUGUUCAAGAUGUGGAAUAGAAGAAACGGAUCUGGAGGCAAGGAGCAAUAAAACGGCGAAAAUGGACAGGGAUCGUGUGCUUGAUUUUUUGAAGGGAUGCCAAUGUUGGAGUGAUGUUCUUGAAAGAUUUCUGCAAACUCAUUAACAAAUCAUCCUUCAGCUGCACCUAAUACGUCUAACACCAUCAUGAAGACAUCUGAUCCUGCUACUGGUAACCUUUAUUGCCAUAUGAUCAUUUACCCUAGUGCUGCAGCUGCUUACCAACACUGAACUUUUACCUUGAUCCUCUCCACCAAGCUUUCUCCAAGAGAUUUUAUCUUGAUCCUGCAUGUACUUAUCAAAAUGCUUUGUGAGCAUGUGCUUCAUGUGUGCAGCUAUGUACCAGCAUUGUUCCAGGGCCUUUUUUGCCUCAUCUUGCAGACACUUACCAUAAUCUUCAAGAAGUAACCUGAUUGGCUCUGUCCUGUGCUGUUAAAAGGAUCAAUAAAAUUUAUGUGAAAUGAAAAAAAGAGGAAGGGGUAUAUCCCCUCAGCAAAGGAAACACACCUGUUGGUGUCAUGCAUUAUUGCAUUUUGUACAACCUUGCUCCUUUGUUUAUUAUAUUUCUGUAUUGUCCAAUAGCCAAAGUUGAAUGUGCUGUUAAUAAAGUCAAAUAAAAACAAACUCCUUCUGAAGCAAGUCUGCAAACAAGUCCAGUCUAAGCUUCAUGUGUGAAAACAAACAUCAGCCUAUUAAUGUGAUUAAGAUUUAUACUUUAUACAUUAAAUUAUAAAGCUGUUAAUCAACAAGCCCAACUUAUUUAAAUGAGACUUACUCCCAUGAAUGAAUAUGGGAAUAAAGCCUAAAACUUUUUCCUGCACCCAGGUAAUGAUGGACAGUUUGGUCAUAAUUUUAAUUGGGGCUUUAUUGUACAGAAUGGAUGCUUGGCUUUACUUUGGUUUUUUUUAAGAUUGUCCCAAGACUAUUUGGUAGUGGAUGGUAUACAAAAAUUUUAAAUAAAUAAUCCAAGGCAAAUCUACUGAGAUAUCCAACUGAAAUCAGUGGCUACAAACAUAGUUAACUUUUUGCCUUAGUAAACUGCAUUAUGGAUAAAAUACUCAGGCUUUUGAACAGUCAAUACUAUUACUGACUCAAGAGUUCUUAGGUCCCCAUUUGUUAACCAUUUCAAGCAUGAAAUUGAAUGAUCUGAGGCCUGGUUUAGACUUGUGGCUGAAUGAGGUGGGAUUAAAAAGAUAGUAAUCUGACAUAUUAAAGUAAAAUGUUCAACUUAAACUUUAGGUGAAAGAUCACAGUUUGGAAUGUUCACAUGAAAAAACAAGUAUCUGCAAGGAGAAUCAAAGAGCAUGGAGCAGGCAGUGUAUGAACUUUCCCCCCAAAUGUAUAGAUGUUUACCUGCAGGAAUUAUUUUAGUCCAGUCUGCUCUAAAUUCUAUCAUGUCAUUGUGUUGUCUAGGUAGGCCAGGAAACUGUGAGAAGUUUAGAUAUAGUGUCCUGGAUAACAAGGCAAAGUGUAACUAAAGUCAAGGAAAUAUUUAAGACAAUUCAAGAUAUUUAUUGUUUUACUUUAUACCACCAAUAUUAAAGCUAUCUGGAUAAUUCACAAAACUAUUAACCUAGUCUUAAGAUGUAAAACCAGACAAGAAGAAACCCUUUUCCUUGUUAGAUUAUUGGAAUUUGCAACAGAGUACAUUACAGAAUUAGUCAAAGAGAGCAAUGCUCAGGCAACAAUUACCAUGAGUUUUACAUACUGAAGUCUAUUGAAAAGAAUGUAUAAAUCUCAGCAUUUAUUUUUUGUAUACUGUUUUUCUACAGAAUUGUAUGCAGAUUUAGAUACAAAUUAAAAUUAAAACUAAAAUAUUUUAAAAUAGAAAAGCUCACAUAUAUAUGAAUUUAUCCAAGCAAAUGCCUACAGAUAUAAAUGGAAAAAUUUAGCAUGUUUCUUUAUCCUAAUGAAAUCCCUGACUCGCAGUGUGAGCCUGUGCAUGUUUACUCAGAAGUAAAUCCAACUGACUUCAGUGACACUUUGCAAGCAUUUUUAGCACUGCAGAUUUCCAGUGCAAUCUUAUAUCUACUUAGAAGUAAGAACCACUGGGUCCAAUAAGAGAAUAAAGGAUCACAACAUUAAAUGUUCAGCUUUGUCUGGAUAAUGUGCACAAUGAGUUGAAGACCUUCAGUGGUGGCUGUAUGUGUCCAUCCCUGCUUUAUCACAAGAACGGCUGUUAUCGUUAUAUUAAUAUUAAAUUAUA